rnacentral:rRNA from 1 species
ACGAACGCUGGCGGCGUGCCUAAUACAUGCAAGUCGAGCGGAAUGAUGAAGAAGCUUGCUUCUCCUGAUUUUAGCGGCGAACGGGUGAGUAACACGUGGGCAACCUACCUUGUAGAUUGGGAUAACUCCGGGAAACCGGGGCUAAUACCGAAUAAUCCAUUUUGCUUCAUGGCGAGAUGUUGAAAGACGGUUUCGGCUGUCACUACAAGAUGGGCCCGCGGCGCAUUAGCUAGUUGGUAGGGUAAUGGCCUACCAAGGCGACGAUGCGUAGCCGACCUGAGAGGGUGAUCGGCCACACUGGGACUGAGACACGGCCCAGACUCCUACGGGAGGCAGCAGUAGGGAAUCUUCCACAAUGGACGAAAGUCUGAUGGAGCAACGCCGCGUGAGUGAAGAAGGUUUUCGGAUCGUAAAACUCUGUUGUAAGGGAAGAACACGUACGAGAGUAACUGCUCGUACCUUGACGGUACCUUAUUAGAAAGCCACGGCUAACUACGUG